CAUCUCGUGCAAGCCUCUUCAGUCUUUGGCUAGAGUCCUUGUUUGGCCCGGCUGACGUCGGGUUUCUUGUGUUGCAUACCUAUUGCAAGGGCAUUCGGUUGGCCAAAACGUCCCACUUCCGCCUCGUGCUGCGCCCCCAGGGAUGUGGCGCGGGGUGGACCUCAAAGCAUUCGUCGUGUUCCACUUUCCGUGCGAGUACCACCGUACGUGCUCGGGUUGUUGGCCCAUGACGGCAUGCUCGAUCUCUCGGAUGCGGAACAAUGAGCGGGUACGAGGCCCACRGCCUCUAUUUGCCCCAAAACAAGCGUUCGACGCUUCUUGCGAACGACUGCCGUUUCCGUUUUGGGCGAGUCCUCGCGGCUCGUCUCAUGCGGCACCGGCGUCGGUGAGGAAUGC
rnacentral:misc_RNA from 1 species